CAGGUUAAACUUAUUAGUUAAGAAUUUCAUUUACACUGAAAUUAAAAUUGUGCGAUUCAAUAUAAUCUGA
rnacentral:tRNA from 1 species